AAGUCGUAACAAGGUUUCCGUAGGUGAACCUGCGGAAGGAUCAUUACAAAUCUCUGUCGCUGGUCAGAUUUGACCAGCGCACAUAUGCACAGGGCCGCAAGGCUCUGAUGUUUACGCUUGUUUGUUUGACAGAUUAAUGUGACUUUAAUUUUGACAACUUUUAACAAUGGAUCUCUUGGCUCUU
rnacentral:misc_RNA from 1 species